UACAGGCUCAGAUUGAACGCUGGCGGCAGGCCUAACACAUGCAAGUCGAGCGGAAACGAGUUAUCAGAACCUUCGGGGGACGAUAACGGCGUCGAGCGGCGGACGGGUGAGUAAUGCCUAGGAAAUUGCCCUGAUGUGGGGGAUAACCAUUGGAAACGAUGGCUAAUACCGCAUGAUGCCUACGGGCCAAAGAGGGGGACCUUCGGGCCUCUCGCGUCAGGAUAUGCCUAGGUGGGAUUAGCUAGUUGGUGAGGUAAGGGCUCACCAAGGCGACGAUCCCUAGCUGGUCUGAGAGGAUGAUCAGCCACACUGGAACUGAGACACGGUCCAGACUCCUACGGGAGGCAGCAGUGGGGAAUAUUGCACAAUGGGCGCAAGCCUGAUGCAGCCAUGCCGCGUGUGUGAAGAAGGCCUUCGGGUUGUAAAGCACUUUCAGUCGUGAGGAAGGUAGUGUAGUUAAUAGCUGCAUUAUUUGACGUUAGCGACAGAAGAAGCACCGGCUAACUCCGUGCCAGCAGCCGCGGUAAUACGGAGGGUGCGAGCGUUAAUCGGAAUUACUGGGCGUAAAGCGCAUGCAGGUGGUUUGUUAAGUCAGAUGUGAAAGCCCGGGGCUCAACCUCGGAAUUGCAUUUGAAACUGGCAGACUAGAGUACUGUAGAGGGGGGUAGAAUUUCAGGUGUAGCGGUGAAAUGCGUAGAGAUCUGAAGGAAUACCGGUGGCGAAGGCGGCCCCCUGGACAGAUACUGACACUCAGAUGCGAAAGCGUGGGGAGCAAACAGGAUUAGAUACCCUGGUAGUCCACGCCGUAAACGAUGUCUACUUGGAGGUUGUGGCCUUGAGCCGUGGCUUUCGGAGCUAACGCGUUAAGUAGACCGCCUGGGGAGUACGGUCGCAAGAUUAAAACUCAAAUGAAUUGACGGGGGCCCGCACAAGCGGUGGAGCAUGUGGUUUAAUUCGAUGCAACGCGAAGAACCUUACCUACUCUUGACAUCCAGAGAACUUUCCAGAGAUGGAUUGGUGCCUUCGGGAACUCUGAGACAGGUGCUGCAUGGCUGUCGUCAGCUCGUGUUGUGAAAUGUUGGGUUAAGUCCCGCAACGAGCGCAACCCUUAUCCUUGUUUGCCAGCGAGUAAUGUCGGGAACUCCAGGGAGACUGCCGGUGAUAAACCGGAGGAAGGUGGGGACGACGUCAAGUCAUCAUGGCCCUUACGAGUAGGGCUACACACGUGCUACAAUGGCGCAUACAGAGGGCGGCCAACUUGCGAAAGUGAGCGAAUCCCAAAAAGUGCG
rnacentral:rRNA from 1 species